rnacentral:rRNA from 1 species
UACGUAGGGUGCAAGCGUUGUCCGGAAUUAUUGGGCGUAAAGAGCUCGUAGGUGGUUUGUCGCGUUGUUCGUGAAAACUCACAGCUCAACUGUGGGCGUGCGGGCGAUACGGGCAGACUUGAGUACUGCAGGGGAGACUGGAAUUCCUGGUGUAGCGGUGGAAUGCGCAGAUAUCAGGAGGAACACCGGUGGCGAAGGCGGGUCUCUGGGCCGAUACUGACGCUGAGGAGCGAAAGCAUGGGGAGCGAACAGG